rnacentral:rRNA from 1 species
UACGGAGGGUGCAAGCGUUAAUCGGAAUUACUGGGCGUAAAGCGUGCGUAGGCGGUUCGUUAAGUCUGUUGUGAAAGCCCCGGGCUCAACCUGGGAAUGGCAAUGGAUACUGGCGAGCUAGAGUGCGGUAGAGGAGAGUGGAAUUCCCGGUGUAGCAGUGAAAUGCGUAGAGAUCGGGAGGAACAUCAGUUGCGAAGGCGGCUCUCUGGACCAGCACUGACACUGAGGCACGAAAGCGUGGGGAGCAAACAGG